AUACAUUGGCCAGAACUCACAAGUCACAAUACAAGCACAAAGCAGUACUUCCAGUUCCAGUUCCAACUAAUUAGGUCUCGGAAUCAACAAGUCUGAAGCAGAAGAAGGAAAAUGAGCACCACGAAGACAUCGUGGCCGGAGGUGGUAGGCUGGCCGGCGGCACAGGCCGUGACGCAGGUCGGCACCGACAGGCCCGACGUGGCCAUCGAGGUGCUCCCAACGGGCACAAGCGUGGCCCCGGGGUUCAACAGCAAGCGCGUCCGCGUCUUCUUCGACGGGACCGGCAGCGUCGCAGCCACUCCAGUGGUUGGUUAAUCAGGCGCCGUCGUCUGACUGGGCUUGUUGCUCUGAAGAAGCGUUUUGGUCAGAUCUUAGUUUUGUAUGAGGAUUCUGAAGAUGCAUUUUAUCUGAAUAAUAUACUCCCUCCCUCCGAUCUUAAAUUCUUGCCGUUGUUUUAAAAACAAUUACGAGAAUUUAGAAUUGGAGGCAGCAGUCUUGAUAAAUGUGGCUGUUUAUGCUUACUUGAACA